rnacentral:tRNA from 1 species
GUUUAAUUAGUUUAUUAAAAUAGUAAAUUGUGGAUUUACAGAUGAAUCUUUCAUUAAACA